UCUGAAAUUCAAUGGCGGUCUGGUUCUGUUACCUUGCGUAGUAAGCUUUUUUGCCUCGUAACGUCAACACGAAUCGGCUUGCCGGUGAAUCCCCAUAUUUCACUAGGUUGACCUCGGAUCAGGUAGGGAUACCCGCUGAACUUAAGCAUAUCAAUAAGCGGAGGAAAAGAAACCAACAGGGAUUGCCUUAGUAACUGCGAGUGAAGCGGCAAAAGCUCAAAUUUGAAAUCUGACGUCUUCGGCGUCCGAGUUGUAAUUUGUAGGGAUAUCUCUCGGGGUAUGAGUCGCGUGAAGUUCCUUGGAAGAGGGCAUCAUAGAGGGUGAGAAUCCCGUGUGAGCGUGACUUCCAGCCUCAAGUAGAGUGUCUCCGACGAGUCGAGUUGUUUGGGAAUGCAGCUCAAAAUGGGUGGUAAAUUUCAUCUAAAGCUAAAUAUUGGCGAGAGACCGAUAGCGCACAAGUAGAGUGAUCGAAAGAUGAAAAGCACUUUGAAAAGAGAGUUAAAAAGUACGUGAAAUUGUUGAAAGGGAAGCGCUUGCGACCAGAUUCGACCUUGGGUGAUCAGCUGGGUUUCGGCCUGGUGAAAUCGCCCUUGGUUGGGCCAGCAUCGGUUCCGACGGUGGGAUAAAAGACGGGGAAAUGUAGCYYCCUUCGGGGAGUGUUAUAGUCCCCGUCAUAAUGCUKCCU
rnacentral:rRNA from 1 species